AUUGAACGCUGGCGGCAGGCCCAACACAUGCAAGUCGAGCGGGGUUUUCGGACCUAGCGGCGGACGGGUGAGUAAUGCGUAGGAAGCUACCCGAUAGAGGGGGAUACCAGUUGGAAACGACUGUUAAUACCGCAUAAUGUCUACGGACCAAAGUGUGGGACCUUCGGGCCACAUGCUAUCGGAUGCGCCUACGUGGGAUUAGCUAGUUGGUGAGGUAAUGGCUCACCAAGGCGACGAUCUCUAGCUGGUUUGAGAGGAUGAUCAGCCACACUGGAACUGAGACACGGUCCAGACUCCUACGGGAGGCAGCAGUGGGGAAUAUUGGACAAUGGGCGCAAGCCUGAUCCAGCCAUGCCGCGUGUGUGAAGAAGGCCUUCGGGUUGUAAAGCACUUUCAGUAGGGAGGAAGCGUUGUGUGUUAAUAGUACACAGCGUUGACGUUACCUACAGAAGAAGCACCGGCUAACUCUGUGCCAGCCGCCGCGGUAAAAC
rnacentral:rRNA from 1 species